rnacentral:rRNA from 1 species
CAGUCGCCACGGUAAUACGUAGGGUGCAAGCGUUAAUCGGAAUUACUGGGCGUAAAGCGUGCGCAGGCGGUUAUAUAAGACAGAUGUGAAAUCCCCGGGCUCAACCUGGGAACUGCAUUUGUGACUGUAUAGCUAGAGUACGGCAGAGGGGGAUGGAAUUCCGCGUGUAGCAGUGAAAUGCGUAGAUAUGCGGAGGAACACCGAUGGCGAAGGCAAUCCCCUGGGCCUGUACUGACGCUCAUGCACGAAAGCGUGGGGAGCAAACAGGAUUAGAUACCCGCGUAGUCCCUGUCUCUUAUAC